rnacentral:rRNA from 1 species
UACGGAGGGUGCAAGCGUUAUCCGGAUUCACUGGGUUUAAAGGGUGCGUAGGUGGGUUGGUAAGUCAGUGGUGAAAUCUCCGUGCUUAACAUGGAAAUUGCCAUUGAUACUACUGAUCUUGAAUUUUCAGGAGGUAAGCGGAAUAUGUCAUGUAGCGGUGAAAUGCUUAGAUAUGACAUAGAACACCAAUUGCGAAGGCAGCUUACUACAGGAAUAUUGACACUGAUGCACGAAAGCGUGGGGAUCAAACAGG